rnacentral:rRNA from 1 species
UACGUAGGGUGCAAGCGUUAAUCGGAAUUACUGGGCGUAAAGGGCUCGUAGGUGGCCAACUAAGUCAGACGUGAAAUCCCCAGGCUUAACCUGGGAACUGCGUCUGAUACUGGAUGGCUUGAAUUCGGGAGAGGGAUGCAGAAUUCCAGGUGUAGCAGUGAAAUGCGUAGAUAUGUGGAGGAACACCGAUGGCGAAGGCAGCCCCCUGGGAUGUGACUGACGCUCAUGUACGAAAGCGUGGGGAGCAAACAGG